ensembl:lncRNA
GAGAACUAAGACCCUAUAAGCCAUAGGGCAACUAAGCCUGUGUACCGCAACUACUGUGGCCAUGUGCCACAACUAAGACCCCAAACAGCCAAAUAAACAAAUAUUUUUAAAAACCCACAAAUUGUGAAGCUGAGGCAGGCAGAUAAAGCAAGAGCUAUUUUACACAUUAUAAAGGAUUUCUUAAGGGGACCAAAACUCAUUAAUGGCCAGGGUCGCAUUGGAUAGACCUGGCUGCUGAGAGAACCAGACAGAGGACAGGUAAGUUUCGAUGAGGGAAAAGGGCCAGAAAGAGGUAAUGAAUGGCUCAAGGCAUAGAAAAUACUGCAAAGGGGACACUUUGGAGAUUAAGUCACCUGUAGACCAUAAUGGUGCUGAAAGGGGGCUUGGAAGAGAAGACUGGAGUCUAACUUUGCCAAUAUAAAAACUUUGCUUUAGGUGAGAACUCAAGAAAAGAUAAAUAUUUUGGAAACUGGAGCCAUUUCUAAGAUUCCUAUUGAAUGAUCUGAUUGUGUAAAAAUUCAUGAGUAAUCAUGAAUCCUCAUCCUGUAUUUCACUUCAGGCUUAAGUCGGGCUGCAUUUAAGAAAGAAAUGCAGGAAAUCUUAAGCCCCUGUAGUGAAAUGAACUAAAGUCCUGAUAAGCAGUGACUGCCCUGGUAUACCGCAGCCCAUCCAACCUCUGGACCUCGCCCCAAGUUUAUUCCUCAAGUCAGGAGCCGGAGGCUACUCUUCUGCAGGAAGAACUACCACAGGAAAAGAGAACCACCAAACCCCUGGCCUGAACAAUUCAGCUGCCCAACAAUAUGUAUUGUGUUCAUAUUCUAUUCAAGACAAAGGAAUUAUUCCCAGUGAGUAAAACUGGGUUAGUAGGUAAAAGCCAUUGGGAGGUGACUUGAUCCAAUAUCAGCAGAGGCAUCUUAAUAGUAAGAAAUGUUCAACGUAUAGGCUACAAAGUAUUAUGAUUCCCAUCAUCAAAUGUGUCUCAAGCAGAUGCUGGCUUGUAGAAAUUCAGAUUUUAAAGUAGAAAUUGGAAUCAAUGAAUUUAAAGUUUCCUUCCAAUUUCCCAGCCCUAUAAAAUAGAAGGUAUGGCCUCCAGCUACAAUAAACUUACAGUUUAACCAAGAAAGGAGAAAUUGUGGAAAUGUUAGCAGAUCCAGAAUGAAGGUCUAAAAACUCAGGACAGUAAUUCCUAAAAGGAGCUCUCCAGGGAAUAUUCAAGACCAACCUGAAAUUCCUUCCCACCUGAAGAAAAUUCAUUCCUCUGCAGAAGCAAUAAUUAGACUGGACUCCUGGUAGUGAGGAUAAAGAUGAAGUACACAUUUGAUUUAGAGUCAGAGAAAUUAGUCUACAAACCCUCAGGCAGUGCCCACCAGAUUCUUACUUAAAUGAAGUACAGAGCCUAAUGCUUGCCAAUAAAAAAAUAAUAAUAACCUCAAAUAAACAGUAGCUUUGCCAUCUCAGAAAAAUCAGAUCCGCUUGGAUUCUGUUUUCUGUGUUUGUGCACACUAUGAAUCUAAUGUCAAUAUUUUGCUUUGCAAGAAAUUAGAAUUCCAAGUCGUGGCUUUCCAAACUUAACUUUUAAAUCAGAAGAUGGAAUCUGUGACCUCAUGAUUACUCAGGGGGUUUGAAAUCAUUACUUAUUCAUUCUUUAUUUCUGACAGUGUCUGAGGAGAAUAAGGAUUCUUAUUCCUCCUAAGAUGCAUCAGCUUGAAACAGGAGCUAGAGAUAAAAGUUAACUAGGGCCUUGUUACUCAGCAUGGUCCACAGACCAGCAGCCUUG